UACAUGGGGUGCAAACGUUGCUCGGAAUCAUUGGGCGUAAAGCGCGCGUAGGCGGUUACUUAAGUUGGAUGUGAAAGCCCCCGGCUUAACUGGGGAGGGUCAUUCGAUACUGCUCGGCUCGAAGACAGGAGAGGGAAGUGGAAUUCCCGGUGUAGUGGUGAAAUGCGUUGAUAUCGACCGGAACUCCGGUGGCGAAGGCGAGGCGCUGGACCCUUUCUGACGCUGAGGCGCGAAAGCCAGGGGAGCAAACGGG
rnacentral:rRNA from 1 species